UAAGACCUCGCGUUAUUGGAGCGGCCGAUAUCUGAUUAGCUAGUUGGUGGGGUAAGGGCCUACCAAGGCGACGAUCAGUAGCUGGUCUGAGAGGACGACCAGCCACACUGGGACUGAGACACGGCCCAGACUCCUACGGGAGGCAGCAGUGGGGAAUUUUGGACAAUGGGCGAAAGCCUGAUCCAGCCAUGCCGCGUGAGUGAAGAAGGCCUUCGGGUUGUAAAGCUCUUUCGCAAGGAAAGAAAUCCUAUCCACUAAUACUGGGUGGGGAUGACGGUACCUUGAUAAGAAGCACCGGCUAACUACGUGCCAGCAGCCGCGGUAAUACGUAGGGUGCGAGCGUUAAUCGGAAUUACUGGGCGUAAAGCGAGCGCAGGCGGUUUUGUAAGUCAGAUGUGAAAUCCCCGGGCUCAACCUGGGAACU
rnacentral:rRNA from 1 species